rnacentral:rRNA from 1 species
GACGAACGCUGGCGGCGUGCCUAAUACAUGCAAGUUGAGCGCUGAAGGUUGGUACUUGUACCAACUGGAUGAGCAGCGAACGGGUGAGUAACGCGUGGGGAAUCUGCCUUUGAGCGGGGGACAACAUUUGGAAACGAAUGCUAAUACCGCAUAAAAACUUUAAACACAAGGUUUAAGUUUGAAAGAUGCAAUUGCAUCACUCAAAGAUGAUCCCGCGUUGUAUUAGCUAGUUGGUGAGGUAAAGGCUCACCAAGGCGAUGAUACAUAGCCGACCUGAGAGGGUGGUCGGCCACAUUGGGACUGAGACACGGCCCAAACUCCUACGGGAGGCAGCAGUAGGGAAUCGUCGGCAAGGGACGAAAGUCUGACCGAGAAACGCCGCGUGAGUGAAGAAGGUUUUCGGAUCGUAAAACUCGGUUGGUAGAGAAGAACGUUGGUGAGAGUGGAAAGAUCAUCAAGUGACGGUAACUACCCAGAAAGGGACGGCUAACUACGUG